AUUGAACGCUGGCGGGAGGCUUAACACAUGCAAGUCGAACGAGUGGCGGACGGGUGAGUAAUGUCUGGGAACCUGCCCGAUGGAGGGGGAUAACUACUGGAAACGGUAGCUAAUACCGCAUACCAUCGGAUGUGCCCAUAUGGGAUUAGCUAGUAGGUGGGGUAACGGCUCACCAAGGCAACGAUCCCUAGCUGGUUUGAGAGGAGGACCAGCCACACUGGAACUGAGACACGGUCCAGACUCCUACGGUAGGCAGCAGUGGGGAAUAUUGCACAAUGGGGGCAAGCCUGAUGCAGCCAUGCCGCGUGUAUGAAGAAGGCCUUCGGGUUGUAAAGUACUUUCAGCGGAGAGGCGUUACCCGCAGAAGAAGCACCGGCUAACUCCGUGCCAGCAGCCGCGGUAAUAC
rnacentral:rRNA from 1 species